ensembl:lncRNA
GGUAAAGCACCUGUAGCUACCGCUGCUUUGCUAUACCCCACGAAACCUGUGCUGCUCUGGAAACAUGCUGCCUGAGGGGCUACCCAAGUGCUCACCAUCACCCUUUGCAACUGCUACCGAAGGCUAUGCUAAAAGCUCUGUCUUCCCCACCAAAGCCAUGAGGUUUUGGCUAUUUUCCUUCCUUCCAACUUCUAAUCACCUGCCAGUGUCUUUCCCUCAGUGUUCGAGUCUAACAGAAGCCAACUGGCAAAGAAGUCUCAGGAAGGUACCUUUGGGAAUCCAGUCCUCUGUGAUGCAGAGAAGAGCACAGAGAUCACAAGUGGAGCUGAGAAAGAGUGUACAAAUAACCCGGUCCCUCCUCCUAGGUGGCUGUAUCCUUUUCUUGACAUCAAUCUUAAGCAGUCUCCAAAAAUUCUUUAAAUUGUUUUCUGUUCUUUCGCUUCUGCUCAUUUUGAAAAUAUAAAAUAAAUUUUAUUUUUUAGUAAUUUCUGUAAAAUGUAAACUUGUUUUAUAUAAAAUACAAUUUAUAAAGUUCUAUCCUUCAAUUUUGCUGAAUUCGUUUACUUGGUCUAAUACUUUACUUGAAGUUUAUUUUGGAUUUAUGUAUGUAUAAUAAAAUUAUCAGUGAGUAAAUGGGAACAUUUAUAUUUUCAAACAUUAAACACUUUUUGUAAGCAUUUGUAUACUUGCUUUUGUUUUAUUANNNNNNNNNNNNNNNNNNNNNNNNNNNNNNNNNNNNNNNNNNNNNNNNNNNNNNNNNNNNNNNNNNNCCUCAUAUGAGAUAUAAAGACUUCAAUAUUUCCCCACUAACAUGAAGCAGGCGAAAAGAUUUUCUUUUUUUUUAGAAACAUUAAAACAGAAUAAGGAAAAUUAUUCUAUUUUUAGUUUCCCAAUUAUUUUUAUCAUAAGUAGUUUUCUAAUUUACCAAAUUUGUUGCAGUACCUGGUAUGAAGAUUUUAUGAUUUUUUUUUUAAAUUCUGUGACUGUAUGACUUAGUUAACUGAUCUAUUUCCAAAUAAUAAAUCUCAAAUGAACCAAACCUGGCCUUGAUCGAUGUAUUUUAUAUAGCUGUAGAUGCUACAGGAAUUUUCUUCGAGAUUUCUUCAUAGUUGUUUAUUGGUGAUUUUUUUUUUCCCAAAUGGUUGUUAGUUUUGGUACAAAGGGUAUACUGACUCCAUAACUCAUAUUGAAGAACUACUGAAUAUAUUUUCUGUUCUCUGAAAGAAUGUAUAUAAUAUUUGUAUUACAUUUUUUCUGAAAUAUUUAGGAGAAUUUAACAGUUAAAUCAUUUGAGCUAUAUCUUGCAAUAGUAUAAACUAUGAAGAAAUUAACACAAAAGAUAAUAUUAAAUGGGAGUAAAUAACAAAGCACCAUUUGUGGAUCACAGCCAUGUCAUGAUGAAGGAGCUUGCAUAACUCAAUGAAGCUAUGAGCCAUGCUAUGCAGGGUCACGCGAAAAGGAUGGGUCACAGUGAAGAGUUCUGACAAAACGUGGUCCACUUGAAUGGGAAUGUCAAACCACUCCAGUAUUCUUGCAUCAAGGACCCCAUGAACAGUAUAAAAAGGCAAAAAGAUAUGAAACUGGAAGAUAAGCGGCCCCCCGCCCCCAACCGAGCUUGGAAUAUGUCCAACAUGCUACUGGAAAAGAAAGGGGGCAAUUACUCAUUAACUCCAGAAAGUGCGAAGCAGCUGGGCCAAAGCAGAAACGAUGCUCAGUUGUGAAUGUUUCUGGUUAUGAAAGUAAGGUCCAAUGCCAUAAAAACAAUAUUGCAUAAUAAACCACAAAUUUUAGGUUCAUGAGUCAAGGUAAAUCGGAUGUGGUCAAGCAGGAGAUGACAAGAGUGAAAUCAACAUCUUAGGAAGCACUUAUCUAAAAUGGAUGGAAACAGGUGAAUUUAAUUCAGAGAGCCAUUAUAUCUACUGAUGUGGGCAAGAAUGCGUUAGAAGAAAUGGAGUAGCCUUCAUAGUCAACAAGAGAGUGUAAAAUGCAGUACUUUGGUAUGACGUCAAAAAUGACAGAAUUAUCUUGGUUCAUUUCCAAGGCAACCCAUUCACCAUCACAAGUCUAUGCCCCAACAACUGAUGCUGAAAAAGCUGGGUUUGACCAGUUCUAUAAAAAUCUAUAAGACCUUCUAGAAGUAACACCAAAAAAGACAUCCUUUUCAUCAUAGGGGACGGGAAUACAGAAGAAGGAAGUCAAGAGAUACCUGGAAUAACAGGCAAGUUUGGUCUUGGA